UGUGGGAGCGGGCUUGCUCGCGAAUGCAGUGUGUCAGUCACUUAAAAUGUCGCUGACACUCCGCUUUCGCGAGCAAGCCCGCUCCCACA
rnacentral:antisense_RNA from 1 species